ensembl:snRNA U4 U4 spliceosomal RNA
AGCUUUGCGCAGUGGCAGUAUCGUAGCCAAUGAGGUUUAUCCGAGGCGCGAUUAUUGCUAAUUGAAAAAAAACAUUCAAAAUCUAUUAAUGGAAUCCAUCACAUCAACAAGCUAAAGAAGAAAGUCACCUGAUCAUAUAUAUCAAUGGAUGCAGAAAAAGCAUUUGACAAAAUUCACAUACU